CAGGAGGAGCACAUGGCAGACAACAAAGACAGAGCAAUGUGCUCAAACACAAACCAAACAUAGAAACAUGAAACAAAGACAAGACAGACAAAACAGUGAGGGCAGGAUCAUCCCUGACAUUACACCCCAACCCAAGCUUACCAGGCACUCAAAUGCUUUGACCCUCUGCCCUUUGAACUCCACUUGAACCGCCAGUUCCAAGAGAAAGCAACAUAGAGAAGCUUAAUGUACUUCAACAAUGGCAUCUUAUACCAAUCCCUGACUGGAAUGUGCUCCCUGGAGCAGCAACACAUGGUGCAUUAAGACAGAAGAAUGACUCAUUUAACUAUACUCCUACUGUGUGAAUUAAAUUUGACCAAGAACAACCCCACUCAUUGCUGCAAGUGAUAGGAGAAGUGCGUGGGAAUCAUGGA